rnacentral:rRNA from 1 species
GACGAACGCUGGCGGCGUGCUUAACACAUGCAAGUCGAACGAAGAGCGAUGGAAGCUUGCUUCUAUCAAUCUUAGUGGCGCACGGGUGAGUAACGCGUAAUCAACCUGCCCUUCAGAGGGGGACAACAGUUGGAAACGACUGCUAAUACCGCAUACGAUCUAAUCUCGGCAUCGAGGAUAGAUGAAAGGUGGCCUCUACAUGUAAGCUAUCACUGAAGGAGGGGAUUGCGUCUGAUUAGCUAGUUGGAGGGGUAACGGCCCACCAAGGCGAUGAUCGGUAGCCGGUCUGAGAGGAUGAACGGCCACAUUGGGACUGAGACACGGCCCAGACUCCUACGGGAGGCAGCAGUGGGGAAUCUUCCGCAAUGGACGAAAGUCUGACGGAGCAACGCCGCGUGAGUGAUGACGGCCUUCGGGUUGUAAAGCUCUGUUAAUCGGGACGAAAGGCCUUCUUGCGAAUAGUGAGAAGGAUUGACGGUACCGGAAUAGAAAGCCACGGCUAACUACGUG